CCCCGACCCAAAACGUUACCUACCCAUUCUCUCCAGAGAUGCUGCCUGAGCCACUGAGUUCCUCCAGCAUUGUGUGUCUAUCUUAUUUCGCAACAGUCAAGAAUAUAAUUGAGGGAUGCAUGCAUCAUUGUUGUAGGGAUUU